CACGGGGGGAGCAAGCGUUGUUCGGAUUCAUUGGGCGUAAAGGGCUCGUAGGUGGCUUUGUAAGUCGGAGGUGAAAUCCCACGGCUCAACCGUGGACACGCCUUCGAAACUGUGAAGCUUGAGGCUGGGAGAGGAGAUCGGAAUUCCUGGUGUAGCGGUGAAAUGCGUAGAUAUCAGGAGGAACACCAAAAGGCGAAGGCAGUCAACUAUUCUGUUCCUGACAUUGAGGCAUGAAAGCGUGGGGAGCAAACCGG
rnacentral:rRNA from 1 species